UACAGAGGGUGCAAGCGUUGUUCGGAAUUAUUGGGCGUAAAGCGCGUGUAGGCGGCUUGGCAAGUCAGAUGUGAAAGCCCUCGGCUUAACCGAGGAAGUGCGUCUGAAACUGCUGAGCUUGAGUCUCGGAGAGGAUGGCGGAAUUCCGCAAGUAGAGGUGAAAUUCGUAGAUAUGCGGAGGAACACCGGUGGCGAAGGCGGGUCACUGGGCAGUAACUGACGCUGAGGAGCGAAAGCGUGGGGAGCGAACAGGAUUAGAAACC
rnacentral:rRNA from 1 species